UGUCAUCACUAGCAGCUGUAUAUCGGUUUGUCCGUUUGUUUGUUUUGAUUGAGAUGGUUUUUUAAAAAGUCCUUAAAGCCACAGCAGACAACUCCACAAACCGUUUGAGUCACUACUAUAUGAAGUUGAAAUCGCGGAAAUAGUUAGGGAUUAAAACCGUCAUCUCCCUGUCUAGAGAGGCGUUGAACACGACCUGGUUAGUCAUACCAGGGUGUGGCCUCGAUUCACUCGCAGCGGACCAGUUUUUCCACUCUUUCUGCUGGUUCCUCUCGCUCGGUCUCCCUCUCUUCACAGCGAGCUCCGGUGCAGACUCGACCUCCUCCGACAGAACGAUCUUUCUUCAAAUCAAACCAACUAUCAACGGUCUAU